GAUGAACGCUAGCGGCAGGCUUAAUACAUGCAAGUCGAGGGGCAGCACGGUUAGCAAUAACUGGUGGCGACCGGCGCACGGGUGCGUAACACGUAUACAAUCUACCUUAAACAGGGGGAUAGCCUUUCGAAAAGAGAGAUUAAAUACCCCGUAAUAAAUUGAACGGCAUCGUUUGAUUUUGAAAGCUCCGGCGGUUUGAGAUGAGUAUGCGUCUGAUUAGCUAGCUGGUGAGGUAACGGCUCACCAAGGCGACGAUCAGUAGGGGAUCUGAGAGGACUAACCCCCCACACUGGUACUGAGACACGGACCAGACUCCUACGGGAGGCAGCAGUAAGGAAUAUUGGUCAAUGGAGGCAACUCUGAACCAGCCAUGCCGCGUGCAGGAUGACGGCCCUAUGGGUUGUAAACUGCUUUUAUACAAGAGAAAACCCUGGUACGUGUACCAGGUUGAUAGAUUGUAAGAAUAAGCAUCGGCUAACUUCGUGCCAGCAGCCGC
rnacentral:rRNA from 1 species